CACAUCCGUUACUGGCGGUUCCCCAGCGUACUUGCUAGGUGGAGGAGCACAAACCCUGGGGUGUGCGGGUGGCUUUGUGAAGUCAGCCACCCUCUUAGUUCUUGCUUGGGCUUUACUCCCAGCUCCAAGGGACACCUGAUGUCUAGGGGGCUUUCUCUGUUAAAGUAGAUUUUCUGGUACCCAAGAUGAGGAGCUGAGCUUUAAGCCAAACUGCACUCAGUAUAAAUUACCAGGAUGUCCCAGGGACUUUAACCCUGUGUGUGGCAGUGACAUGUCCACUUAUCCCAAUGAGUGUACUCUGUGCAUAAAAAUCAGAUGGAGUUUUGCUGUUGUCCCCCAGGCUGGAGUAAAACAACAUGAUCUUGGCUGCUCGCAGCCUCCACCUCCUGGGUUCAAGCAAUUCUCCUGCCUCAGCCUUUCAAGUAGCUUGGACUACAAGCAGGAAUGAGGAAGGGACUGUCGGACAUUUCCUGGUCUCAGGGGUCACCAUGGAAGAGCAGAGGCAAGGAAACAGUGAGUCAGGAGAAAAGAGGCCAGUUUGCUUCAUCGGAUCUGCAUCCACUGCCUCAGGAACAGAAAUCAUCAGGAGUGACCACCAGGAAUGUUCCUUCACCACAGAUGUGCUUUCACCCUGGAGAAAACUUGACCAGAUGAUCUUGGGAUUGUUUUAGAAGAGAGGAGCAGAGAAGUGGCAGACGUGAGAUGAACAACUUGACAACAUGAACUACAAGUGGAGUCUUACUCUGUUGCUCAGGGUGAAGUACAAUGGUGCAAUCUCAGCUCACUGCAACCGCCACCUCCCAGGUUUAAGAAAUCUUCCCACCUCAGCCUCCUAAGCAGCUGGGACUACAGACAACAUAUAUACAGCAUGAUGAAAAUGAACCAAAUGCUUCUUAUCUACUAUGUAUUUUACACAUAAAAAUGAGCCAUUAGAUGCUGGAGGACUCAAGAUGGCGCUGUGAGAACAACCCAGGAUUGGAGCUCUCGUUGAAUCCGCAAAGAGGUGAGUCAGAGUUGCAUUUCCAGACUGAUCUUUGUUGCCCACAGAACGGUGAAACUCCCAAGUGUAAGGGAGACACGGGACGCGAGGCAGUAAGGCUGCCUGGCGAAGCCGGCGGCCGGGGCGGCGGCAGCUGGCCCUACCCAGCAAUCCCCACAGGGCGCGCUUGUCCAGGUGCCCUGUUGAACCGGCAACCUGAGACUUGAGAGGGCUGGACUUGAGACUGAAUGAGACUUGGACACUAGGCCAGCCCAGGGGAUUGCAGGAACAGAGCGUUCAGGGUACCCAGUGGGAUGAAAAAAACCGCGAUUUCAAACUAUCCCGAGCAGAUGGUCCGAGACGCUCUGUGGGGGAGGGGCGUCCACCACUACCGAGGCAACCCGCCCCAAAUGAGAUACACGCCCACUGCUGACGCAGCCUCCCGUUGCCGAGGCAACCCGUCCCUACUGAGAUACACGCCCACUGCUGACGCAGCCUGCCGUUGCCGAGGCAACAUGCUACAACGAAGAGACUCCGCCACAGGGCGUGGCAGAGACCACAGCAGAGCCUGCAGGAACAGGGCGAAUCACACAACAGCAGGGUGGAGACUCGGCAGGCAAACAGUGGCUAGUCUGCCUCCUAGCUGGGCAGGACACCUCAACAAACAUCAAAAAAUAAAGCCCGAACCCCCCAACACAGAGCAUUUGAGAAAAAAAAGGGUUUUUUUAAUGAGCUCUGUAGCAGCAGAAUCAAACAUAGCAGCCUAACAGGCCUGAAUGAACUACAGAGCUCACAGCUCAGAAAUUGAGCUCCUAAAAAGAACAGACUGUCUCCUCAAGCAGCUCCCUGACCCCUCUAUAUCCAAAAGACUGACAUUUGGCAGGCAUCAUCCUGGGACAAAGAUAGCAGAAAAAGAAACUGGUAGCAUCCCUCACUGUCCACAGCUGCUAGAGGUGCACCCCAGACAAGCAGGGUCUGGAGCGGACCUCAGCAGUCAUACAGCGAAGGGGAUAGACUGGUAGAAGGAGAACCAAGCAACAGAAAUACUUCAUCAUCAACAUUCUGGGUGUCCACUCAGAGACCCAAUCGAAAAGUCAGCAACUACGCAGACGACCAGCGGACAAAUCCACAAAGAUGGGAAGAAACCAGCGCAAAAAGGAGGAAAACACCCGAAACCAGAACACCUCACCUCCUACAAAGAACCAAAACUCCUCACCAGCAAGGGAACAAAGCUGGACGGAGAAUGACUGUGACGAAAUGACGGAAUUAGACUUCAGAAGAUGGAUAAUGAGAAACUUUGGUGAGCUAAAAGAUCAUGUAUUAAAUCAAUGCAAAGAAACUAAGAACCUUGAAAAAAGAUUUGAAAAAAGAUUCGAGGAAAUGAUAACAAGAAUGGAUAACUUAGAGACGAAUAUGAAUGAA